rnacentral:rRNA from 1 species
GAUGAACGCUGGCGGCGUGCCUAAUACAUGCAAGUCGAGCGAACAGACGAGGAGCUUGCUCCUCUGACGUUAGCGGCGGACGGGUGAGUAACGCGUGGAUAACCUACCUAUAAGACUGGGAUAACUUCGGGAAACCGGAGCUAAUACCGGAUAAUAUAUUGAACCGCAUGGUUCAAUAGUGAAAGACGGUUUUGCUGUCACUUAUAGAUGGAUCCGCGCCGCAUUAGCUAGUUGGUAAGGUAACGGCUUACCAAGGCAACGAUGCGUAGCCGACCUGAGAGGGUGAUCGGCCACACUGGAACUGAGACACGGUCCAGACUCCUACGGGAGGCAGCAGUAGGGAAUCUUCCGCAAAGGGCGAAAGCCUGACGGAGCAACGCCGCGUGAGUGAUGAAGGUCUUCGGAUCGUAAAACUCUGUUAUUAGGGAAGAACAAAUGUGUAAGUAACUAUGCACGUCUUGACGGUACCUAAUCAGAAAGCCACGGCUAACUACGUG